GACGAACGCUGGCGGCGUGCUUAACACAUGCAAGUCGAACGGAAAGGCCCUGCUUUUGUGGGGUGCUCGAGUGGCGAACGGGUGAGUAACACGUGAGUAACCUGCCCUUGACUUUGGGAUAACUUCAGGAAACUGGGGCUAAUACCGGAUAGGAGCUCCUGCUGCAUGGGGGGGGUUGGAAAGUUUCGGCGGUUGGGGAUGGACUCGCGGCUUAUCAGCUUGUUGGUGGGGUAGUGGCUUACCAAGGCUUUGACGGGUAGCCGGCCUGAGAGGGUGACCGGCCACAUUGGGACUGAGACACGGCCCAGACUCCUACGGGAGGCAGCAGUGGGGAAUAUUGCACAAUGGGCGGAAGCCUGAUGCAGCAACGCCGCGUGCGGGAUGACGGCCUUCGGGUUGUAAACCGCCUUCGCCUGUGACGAAGCGUGAGUGACGGUAAUGGGUAAAGAAGCACCGGCUAACUACGUG
rnacentral:rRNA from 1 species